UACGUAGGGUGCGAGCGUUGUCCGGAAUUAUUGGGCGUAAAGAGCUUGUAGGCGGUUUGUCGCGUCUGCUGUGAAAUCUCAAGGCUCAACCUUGAGCUUGCAGUGGGUACGGGCAGACUAGAGUGUGGUAGGGGAGACUGGAAUUCCUGGUGUAGCGGUGAAAUGCGCAGAUAUCAGGAGGAACACCGAUGGCGAAGGCAGGUCUCUGGGCCACUACUGACGCUGAGAAGCGAAAGCCAUGGGGGAGCGAACAGG
rnacentral:rRNA from 1 species